rnacentral:rRNA from 1 species
AUUGAACGCUGGCGGCAGGCCUAACACAUGCAAGUCGAGCGGAGCGCCGGACGGGUGCGUAAUGCUUAGGUAUCUGCCUCUUCGUGGGUGACAACACUUCGACAGGGAUGCUAAUACCGCAUCCUAAUAGAUUCGCCUAAGUCGGAUUAGCUAGUUGGGGGGGUAAAGGCCUACCAAGGCCACGAUCUGUAGCGGGUCUGAGAGGAUGAUCCGCCACACUGGGACUGAGACACGGCCCAGACUCCUACGGGAGGCAGCAGUGGGGAAUAUUGGACAAUGGGGGGAACCCUGAUCCAGCCAUGCCGCGGGUGUGAAGAAGGCCUUAUGGUUGUAAAGCACUUUAAGCGAGGAGGCGUUACUCGCAGAAUAAGCACCGGCUAACUCUGUGCCAGCAGCCGCGGUAAUAC